GUCAACUGUGGAGGCUGAGAGCUCCGGAGAGUGCUGUGUGGGUUGGAAGCCUCCUCUCUCAAACACACAAAUCUGAGGGAGGUGGAGGCAGCAGAGCUUGCUUCACCGGCUGCCCAUUGAUCAGACUUAAAGGAUUCAGAGUAGAAACAAGGGGAGAGCAGAGAAAGGAUGCAGGGGGGCGAUGGGGGGAGUGGUAAGAUAGAAAGACAGAAAGAUGCAAAUCCUGAAAUGAAGAGGCAGAUCCCAGCAGCUGUUUGGUGGUGGGGGGGAAACCCUGGGUUUACCAAUCUGGAUGAAGCUUAUUGGACAGACGAUUGACUGCAGGAGAGGAGAUGGAGAACUUCUGCAGCAUCCGUCCACCUUCGGCCAUUUUGAGUUGGAGAAAACCUUUUAAACACUGAAAAGCAAAGGAGGAGAGAGUUAGCUCAUUAUCAACAUGCAUUUCUGGGUCAAAAUAGUGUUUAUAAAGGUUAAUUUAUUUUUCAUCUGUAGACCAACAUAAGCAUCAUUAGCCAGCUGAGGUGUAGUUUUAUUUUUUUACAGUGACCACCAGGGGGCGCUGCUCCCCACUCACUGAACAUGCUGAAAUUAGAACAAAAUGCAAUUCAUAUGAGGCGUAACUAAAACAUUUUGUGCAGAUUAUGCCACUCUGGGCAGAGAGCCAUUGUCUCCUUAUUAAAAACACUAAUAGAGGAGUUCCCCAUUUUUGAAAAAUGGAAGAAUGAGGACGUACUCCAGAAAAUUUUAUUCGUAAACAUGUAAUGUUUUGUUUUUAGAUUAGUUAAAAACUUACCAAAUCCUCCAUAUUGAUGCUAAAAAAAGCACAUGUCAGUUUUCUUGGGCAAAAAAAACAACAACAAAAAAUCCUGGGAAUUCUGCCGUCGUUGCUUUGCAAAAAUUCAGCAAGCAUAGCGCUACAGAUGCAUAAAGUCAGGUUGCUUUAACAAGUCAAGAACAAUAUCCUCAUCCGGGGUUGUUGCAGGAAGUGUGAAAUCAGAUCUGUAUCACUCUUACUUGGAAAAAGCGACACCAGCAAAUAACUUUUUCAUGCGUGUUGCUGAGGGAGGAAAUUGCCAGGACAUAUGUAGGUGAAGGUGCAAGUAGGAAAUAGGUGUCUGGUUGUUUAAAAAAAAAAAAAAAUCUGUAUUCACAACUUUUGCGAUUGUGUUUUUGUAAGAAAAAAAAAAAACAAACUGGCAGAAAUAGUUGUUUUUGCAUCAUUACGAGCUGCACACGCCCUUCUCGGCAGACUUACAUCAGCUUGAGGUCGUUUCCCUGCUCAUUAAAAUCUCCCCCGCCUGGACCGAGGCGCCCAAUCAGAGCAGCGGAGGAGCCAGCGGGUGCCCAGCGUUUGCUCAGUAGUCAGUGUAGAUCCUGUGGGGCUGGCAGCAGCUACAUCUGGCUACUGGGUCUCUGCUGACGACCAAUCCGGUCCCAGAAUUCAGGACUGUCGCAGACGUUUGGUUUCUCCUCACCUGGGACUAGUUCUGGACCUGGCAUACAGUGUAGGAUCCUGUGUGUGUCCGUCUACAGCUACAUUGUCUGCUGGGUUUCAGGCCUGUCUACUUUAAAGUCACCUUUCAGAUGAAUA